rnacentral:rRNA from 1 species
GACAGAGGAUGCAAGCGUUAUCCGGAAUGAUUGGGCGUAAAGCGUCUGUAGGUGGCUUUUUAAGUCCGCCGUCAAAUCCCAGGGCUCAACCCUGGACAGGCGGUGGAAACUACCAAGCUGGAGUACGGUAGGGGCAGAGGGAAUUUCCGGUGGAGCGGUGAAAUGCGUAGAGAUCGGAAAGAACACCAACGGCGAAGGCGGCUCUCGUGGGACGGUACUGACGCUGAGACGCGAAAGCGUGGGGAGCGAACAGG